rnacentral:rRNA from 1 species
GACGAACCGUGCGAACGCUGUCCGGAAUCACUGGGCUUAAAGGGCGCGUAGGCGGGCUAUCAAGUCUGGGGUGAAAUCCCACGGCUCAACCGUGGAACUGCCUUAGAUACUGACGGCCUCGAGGGAGAUAGGGGCAUGCGGAACUGUAGGUGGAGCGGUGAAAUGCGUUGAUAUCUACAGGAACUCCGGUGGCGAAAGCGGCGUGCUGGAUCUCUUCUGACGCUGAGGCUCGAAAGCUAGGGGAG